GUCGUAAAAGGGGACGCGGAGGAGAAGGAAAGUCGCUCAAGCAGUGGACAGAGCGGAGAAAGCGACUUCGGGUUGGUUGAAGGUUCAGCCUGAGAAAACUCCUGAGCAUGUGCGAAAAAGAAAAGAAGAAAAGAAAAGUAAAGAAAAGAAAAAAGGAAAAAGGGCAAGCUCCUGAGUGGAUCUCUCAGGGAGCCACCAGACAGCCGCAGAGAGAAGAAGCUGCCCAAGAAUGGAAAGGAAGAAAUAUAUCACAUCAUCUGUCUGUCCACAGGCUUUCCUUGGGGCUUAUGAAGUGAAUGAAGGAGGGAAGAAAGGAGAGACAGAGAAAAUAUGGAUUUCCUCAUGGUUGUGAUUCCUCUUCACUCUUUUGAAUUUGGAAGGAUGGCAUACACAUCUGAAAAAUACCACUACUUCCUUCAUUGGACUGCAAGGUAUUUCUGUUUGGAAAAGUAAUGGAGUCCAGUCAACUUCAUUGAUCGCCAAGGACUGUCAAAAUUAUAAAACUUGCUGUGGAGCUCUGACAUGCCAGAAGCCGCUAGAAAAAGAAGUUUGACAUUCAGAAACUUAUCAAGAGGUUCUACUCUUUGGAUAGAGACCAAAAUCAUACUUUGAAUGAUAUGCAAUGCAAGACUCCCAAGAUUCUGGGCAGUGGCAGGGAGGUGCAGCUUCUAGUCUGCCGCAUGAUCACAAUGUCAGCUGGUCCCUCUUCUCAGGUGUAGAUCACCUAUUAUAAUUUUACCUAAUUUUGAUACUCUGAUAAGGAAAGUCCCAGGACUUAUCAGCUGGGAUAGGCCUCACUUACAAGACAGCUCUGUUCAGUAUUUGGAAGAAAGAAAGCCUGACAGGUUUCUUCGGAAAAGUGGCCAUCCAUGGAAUGAAUGAAAUGUUCUCUUUCUAUUCCAGGGAUUGCAGUGGCAAAGCUAGGCUAGGUCUUGGAGGCUGGUGUAAGGCGAUGUGGGUGAAGGCAGGAGGCUGAUGGAAAGACUGGGGGGAAGAAAAGCCGAAAUGGAUUCACGGUGCCUUGGAUGAAGGACGAGAGGGGAACUGCAAGCUCCUUCAACUGGUUCUGUCCGGUGAGAAGUGAUCAAGCUUGGGCUGACAAGAGGCUCAGGGAGCCCUCACGUUCUUUCGCUUUUUUACCUGCCAAUCAAACUGCUACAAGACAACACCCUGAUCUGGCAUGGACAUCGCGGGUCCAAGCCUGUAGCCCCAAAUCGGAUAAUCUCUGCAGCUGAUAACAAGCAAAAGAGAAGCCAGGCAACAGCCAUAUUAAAGAAGAAAACAAUCAACUCUGAGGAAGAAAUGUAAUGAAUUGAGUGCUGUCAGAGAUGUCUUCUGUUUGAACAAUCUGCGAUGGGCUGAAUGGCAGGGACUCCCUCAUCCAGUGCAGACACAGCCCAGGCAGACAGAAGGAAACGGAGCAUUAAUCCAACUGCAGUCACCCCAAAGUACAGGCCAUUUGGAUCCAGAAGAGAAACUGGUUCCUUCUACAAGCUCUCCCGUUCUCCCUGGGGCCCUUCACAGCCUCCUUGUCUACGUUGUGGCUGUGCUUUCCCUGAUCCAACUUAGAAAUAAUGUUUCAUUCAAGAUAAGGCUCGUGGCUUAGGAGAUUGUGACCUGGCUUGCAUCAUUCUAAGACUUCUAUCGUCUGUUUUCAAAACCCAAGGAGGACCUCCUUUUCUGUGUGAUAGUUCCUCAUGCUUUGCCAGCCACUGGGUCUUUAAGGAAGCUUGCCAAGAGUUCCCGGCUGGGAAGGACAGUUCGAGUUCAUCAUAGACAAUGAGCUGGCACCACAGUUUAAGUGACUCACCAACCUGGUUGCCCACUUCAAAAUGUCAAGAACCACACUAUCUAAUUGAAAGAACUGUGUUUUAGCAAAGUGUAAUUGGAUCGCCUGGCAAGAUCAUCUCAAACUAUGUCUCUGACCUUGCCUUUCAGUGGCUAUUUUGAGCACAAGAGGAGAAAGGAAAUGAUUCCUGAAUUAUAUCUUGUUUUUAAAAAUUAAGAUUAAUUAAUACUUGGUUUUAUGUUCAUUCCAUUGUAGGAACUUAGUGAUUAUUACAAAACAGUCAAAAUAGGUCAUAGCAAAAUGAACGUUUAAGAUUAGGUUAAAACAUUCCUCUGAAAUUUUAGUAUUCACUUUUGAAGUGUCAAUUACUAUAUUUCUGUAAUUUCUCAUUUUUUUCUUGGCUUAGAGUCAAGAUGAAAAAUGAUAUUUGAAUCAAAGACAUUGUUUUGUUAUAUAGCCACUCCUUUCUAAAAUGCAAAUCCACCCUCCCCUCACCAAUGCUUUAUUCUUUGUGCGCGCACACACACACACACACACACACACACACACACACACACACAGACAUACACAGAACCAGCACCCAAAUGGUAGAGGAGGUCCUUCCAAGACUUCUAGGACCUGGAUCAUGUAAGCAGUAGAUGAGAAAAUGAAGUAAGAGAUAUAGAGUAAUAACAAUAAAAGUCAAUGAUUUCAUUUUACAAAAAAGUCAUUGUGUAGUACUCAGAUAUUUUUAAGAGCAAGUAUUAUUAUGACUAAAGUAUAUUAUACUUCUAAAUUAUUAUGAUUCUCAUCUAAUUUCAAGCCACACAUAGGCGCCAUUUGAAAGCAUUUUGUGUUACAACCUAUCAACAAAAAUCAACUAAUAGUUUUAUAACGUGCAUAGGUUUACCCCAUGGGGAAUUAAAAUUUUUAUCUGCAAGUAUUUCUGUUGUUGUGAGACUUUAGGACAAGACAACAUUUGGUGUUAACAUAGAAGAAUAUUCUAUGGCUUUUUUAGCUUUAAAGUUCAUUACUCUAAAAUAAAGUACACGUGGUAUUUUUUUCUUCCUAGUGUUCUCUUAUUAUAUGUAGAGUAUUUUCGGUUGUUGUUUUUAACGUAUACAUUAUUUUUAUUAAGUCAUUUCAUAAAAGAUAAGAUAUAUACUAAUAGACCCUUGGUUUUCUCCUAAUUUAAUUAUUUCAAGUCAAGCAAAAUUGGGCAAUUUUCUUUCAGGAAAAAAAAAAUAUUGAGCAUGAUUUUGAGGUAAAACUGAUUAUUUACAGCAUCUUUUCUCUAAUAGGCUAACAUUUAUGAUGGAUCUUAUUUCAAAGUUGAUUAUUCUCAAAGAAAAGUGGAGAUAUUAGAAUUUCCGAGUAAAUUGCAUUGUUUUAAAAAGUACUUUAAUGCAUUGUUCACAUUGUUGCCAGCUAUUGACCAAAAAAGAGAAGAAGAAAAAAGAAAUAAAAAAAGCAGUAUCUGCUCCAAACGUCAAGUUUUGCAGUUUGAAAGACUUGUACAUUAUAAUUGUUUUUUUCUUUUUUGGAAAGCAGUAGUAAUUAAUACCAAAGGCAUAGACAAUUUAGGGCCAUAACCUCCCUUCCCCCCUCUCCACCUUUUUUUUUUUUUUUUUUUUUUUUUAACUUUAACCAUGAUAGGCAUCUCUGCAAGGUAGGUUUUAACAUAUUUUUUUCCUAAUUUUUUUCCCUCCAUUCAGUAAGAAGGAUAAGCUUUUAGAGUACCCAGUCACCGUGGUAACUGCCAAAAAAAUUCUCCUGAAGUUUGAAGAGGUCAGCUAGCAGGGUCAACAACCCUGGCCUCUCUCUGAGCUCGGUCUAGCAUGCCCCAGCCUGCGGUUGGAGUGUCAGGCCAGAUCUGACCCUGGGAGGUGGACCAUUCUGGCUCUGAUAUAAAUUUUUCGAGUCAGUUCAUGGCCUGGACUCUCCAGGUGGCCUCCAAAAUCGAUUUUGACCCCCUGACCCUGUCUCACGGAGGCAUAGCAUCCACCCUAAGUAAGGAUUUAGCCAGGAAUGACAGCUUUCCACUGAGUGUUAUUGGGGACAGUAUAAACAGUUUGGAAAGCAAGUAAGGAGGUGUGAGGGCUAGCAAUCAUUAAAAGCACAUUAAAAAACAAUUUUUAAAAAUCUUUAUUAGAGAAAGUUGUAAAUGCAUAUCUGUUACAGAAUUCCUGUGAUUUGUAGAGUUUUCUAGUCAGUUUUGAAUAUAAAUAGGUCACAUAUCUUUAUCUUUUUGCAUACUUUGUUACAAAUAUGCAAAUAAGAUAGGCAUACUUGCUACAAAAUAGGUACAGCAGGAAUGUAAUAUGUUCAGAAAAGGCAAACUGGUUAUUAAAACACAUUAACAGGUAAGGAGUUUCUAAUAUUUUAAAUACUAAAAUUUUACAUGUGUAUUUUGAAGUUUUUAAAAUGGAAAAAUAAAGAACCUUUAAAAAACCCAACAGUGUGGAAUAAAGAUAAACUUGUUGCACUCAAGGUACAUUUCUACUUUGUAAAGCAAGAAGCCAAUACACUCAGUUGGAUAAAAAUGAGAGAAAAAUUGUAAAUAUAGAGAGUUACAGCUUAUAGAGCUGAAGAGGAAUAAAACAAAAAAAAGUGUCUCUGAAUAACUUUAUGUAUUUUCAACAGUUUAAGAUAUCAGAAACUUGGAAAAUAAAUAUGAUAUAUAUAUAAAUCAUCA
rnacentral:lncRNA from 1 species